CUUACCUACGGGGGGCAGCAGUGGGGGAUAUUGCACAAUGGGGGAAACCCUGAUGCAGCGACGCCGCGUGGGUGAAGAAGCGCCUCGGCGCGUAAAGCCCUGUCAGCAGGGAAGAAAAUGACGGUACCUGAAGAAGAAGCCCCGGCUAACUACGUGCCAGCAGCCGCGGUAAUACGUAGGGGGCAAGCGUUAUCCGGAUUUACUGGGUGUAAAGGGGGCGCAGACGGCGAUGCAAGCCAGGAGUAAAAGACCGGGGCCCAACCCCGGGACUGCUCUUGGAACUGCGUGGAUCGAGCGCAGGAGGG
rnacentral:rRNA from 1 species